rnacentral:rRNA from 1 species
GGAGUUUGGGCCGUGUCUCAGUCCCAAUGUGGCCGGUCGCCCUCUCAGGCCGGCUAUGGAUCGUCGGUUUGGUGGGCCGUUACCCCGCCAACUGCCUAAUCCAACGCGGAGCCAUCCCAUACCACCGGAGUUUUUCACACUGUACCAUGCGGUACUGUGCGCUUAUGCGGUAUUAGCAGUCAUUUCUAACUGUUAUCCCCCGGUAUGGGGCAGGUUCUCCACGCGUUACUCACCCGUCCGCCGCUCAGUCAUCCUUUGAAUCAAUCCGAAGAAAUCAACAAAGGAGCUUCGCUCGACUUGCAUGUGUUAAGCACGCCGCCAGCGUUCAUC